AAGCUCUGCCUACAGGGAAUUUUGACAAAUCUCUGUACUGAUCACCUAGGUGAUGUAACUCUUGUCUACCCUCUGCCUACAGGGGGCAUUGUGAAAUAUCUCUGCACUGAUAACCCAAGUGAUGCAACUCUUGUCUAGGAUCUGCCUACAGGGGGUAUUGUGAAAUAUCUCUGCACCGAUCAACUAGGUGAUGUAACUCUUUUCUAGGAUCUGCCUACAGGCUGCUUUGUGACAUAUCCCUGCAAUGAUCAUCCAGGUGAUGUACCAUUUGUCAAGGCUCUCCUUAAAGGGGCAUUGCGAUGUAUCUCUGCACUGAUCACCUAGGUCAUGUGACUCUUGUCUAGGCUCUGCCUGCAGUGGCAUUGUGACAUAUCUCUGCACUGAUCACCCAGGUGAUAUAACUCUUGUCUGGGAUCUGCCUAAAUGGACUUUGUGACAGAACCCUGCACUGAUCAUCCAGGUGAUGGGGCUUUUGUCUAGGCUCUGCCUACGGGGGCAUUGUGACGUAUUUCUGCUCUGAUCACCCAGGUGACGGACUCUUGUCUUGCAUCUGCCUAUGGGGGCAUUAUGACAUAUCUCUGCACUGAUCACCGAGGUGAUGUAACUGUUGUAUAAGCUCUGCCUACUUGUGAGUUGUGAGAGAUCUCUCCACUGAUCGCCCAAGUGAUUUAACUA
rnacentral:lncRNA from 1 species